rnacentral:rRNA from 1 species
UCAUACAAGAGACCCAAAUUAACUGUAAUACGGCGUAAAGAGUGGCANGAUGUUAUCACAACAACUAAGAUCGAAAUACAAUUGAGCUGUCAUAAGCUUAAAAUGUACUUAAGGCCCCCCUUAACACGAUCUCAGCACCAAUGAACAAUUUCACUACCACGAAAGCUAGGGCACAAACUGGGAUUAGAUACCCCACUAUGCCUAGCCAUAAAUCUCGACACUUGUUUAACCAAAGUGUCCGCCCGAGAACUACGAGCACAAACGCUUAAAACUCUAAGGACUUGGCGGUGCCCCAAACCCACCUAGAGGAGCCUGUUCUAUAAUCGAUAAUCCACGAUCCACCCAACCGCUUCUUGCCAGAACAGCCUACAUACCGCCGUCGCCAGCCCACCUCAUUGAGAGCACAACAGUGGGCUAAAUAGCCCUACCGCUAACAAGACAGGUCAAGGUAUAGCUCAUGAAGCGGAAGAAAUGGGCUACAUUUUCUAACAUAGAAAACCCACGAACAGGGGCAUGAAAUUGCCCCCAGAAGGCGGAUUUAGCAGUAAAGAGGGAUAAUUAAGCCCCCUUUAAGACGGCACUGGGGCACGUACAUACCGCCCGUCACCCUCCUCAAAAAGCUAUCAAACCCUAUAACUUAAUACAUUAAUCAGCCAAAGACGAGGUAAGUCGUAACAAGGUAAGUGUACCGG